UACAACGCACUACCUGUUCAUAGUAGUCGUUGCUGUCAACAGCACACUGCUCACCAUCAACGCAGGGGACUCCAUCUUCUACACAGACUGGGCGUGGACGUCCUUCGAUGUGUUCUCGGUGGUGCGCUGGUCGUUGCUUGCUGUAGACGCGUUAUAAUCGAUGAUACUCACACGUGUUCAACACACCGCCAUCUCUCCAUCCAAGACUAUUACGUCAUCAACAGUGGCUGGAAACGUAUCAUGAUUUGGUCCUCAGUAGCCAUCUGCUCCUGGGAGAGAAUACGCAACCAGUCCACUGCCAGUCUUGUUGGCGGUACGCUGUUUGGCGUCUCCGUCCCGCUGUUCUACCUGCUCACCCUGUUCCUUGUAAGUGACCCGCUCGAGGUGGACUGCAAGUAUCCGAGACCGACUCUGCCCGCGUACAUGACCCCUAUAGAGCCUCAGGUAGGGAAGUUCUACAACUAGCCUGUCGCCCUGGGUUCAGGUGCCGGUGCAGUGCUAACGGUACCCAACGCUGCGUUGGGUGCACAACUAAACACGUGG
rnacentral:rRNA from 1 species